UAGUCCUUUAACAUAGUCCAGAGAGGCUAAGAAGGUAACGGAGUUUGUUUGACAGUGGUAGUAUAGGUAUAGCCACUGGUCUACAAUGUCGAUCUACCCCCUUGCCGCUUCUGGUGAGGGGUUUUUUAUU
rfam:Listeria grayi DSM 20601 genomic scaffold SCAFFOLD2, whole genome shotgun sequence.